GCCCCGUUGGCGUAGUGGUAGCGCGUUUCACUUGUAAGGCAGAGUCACGUCAUGUGCCUGUGACGGCAUGAAAAGGUCACUCGUUCAAUCCGGGUACGGGGCA